UCAUCUUAUGCUUCAUUAUCUUCAUCUUCUACUUCAUUAUCAUCUUCAUCUUGUUCUUGUUGACCAUUUGUUGUUGUUGUUGUUACCGCUACUGUUGCUAUUUGACCAAUUUCUUAGGUCAAAUUUUGUUUCUAACAUCACUUUCCACUUUGGCAUUACUUCAUAGGAGAUGUUGGUAAGUCAAAUUAUGAUUUUUAGUUGAAUUUGUCAUCUGGGUAACUGUUAUUGUGUUGUUGUUUUCCAACAAUGGAUAGAACCCAAUCAUGAAUCCAACAUAAAAUCCAUCUGUUUAAACAGAUAAAUCAUCUGUUG
rnacentral:lncRNA from 1 species